GUACUUACCUGACAUUGGACAUACCAGGAUGACUAAGGUGGGAUUAUCAGGAAGAGGCUCGUUUAUUGCAUUCCAGGUGUGUUGACUCCUGCGAUUUCCCCAAAUGCGGGAAGCUCAACUGUGUGAUUUAUGGUAGUGAGGGACUGCAUUUGCAUUCUCUGA
rnacentral:snRNA from 1 species